rnacentral:lncRNA from 1 species
ACUUUCACAAGAAGAGAGAGGAAAGGGGCAGUUUACAGAGACAGGUUGUAGAAAGAGAGAGAGAACAAGCCAGACACGGGUGAGGACAGAAAACCAGAGAAUGAGAAGGAGCAGAAGAUUAGAACAGAUUGCUGGAAUUAGUUUGUGACCAAACCAAACAAUUCAGUAAGAAACUGAGAGGUCAGACGGAAUCAGACAGCUUGAAGAGGAGUUUGAGCCAGGACAGCUGAGUUGAAUCAGCUAUCCAGUGCUCAAUAAGAACUAGGAAGGGGUGAGUUUCUCUAUCAGUAAGUCUCAAAGGCUGAAAAUAUUCUAGGUCUAGAUAAGAUUGUAUGGAGGUUAGAAGUUUCUAAGACUAGGCCUAGUUUAGCAGAAGGCAACGAUCUUCCAGAGAACAGCACCAUACUGGCCUGCUGCCAUGCUUCCUGCCAUGAUGAUAAUGGACUAAACCUCUGAAACAGUAAGCCAACCCCCAACCAAAUGCUUUCAAUGUUCAUGGUGUCUCUUCAACACAAUGGAACACUGACUAAGUCUCUCUCUCUCUCUCUCUCUCUCUCUCUCUCUCUCUCUCACACACACACACACACACACACACACAAUCAAAACCAAGAAACAGAAAAUAAGGGUCAGAUUAUGUUGAGAAUUAGCCCACAUUUCCAUGUAUUCAUAGGGUCAGAGAACCUGUCUUCAAUAACCAAUACCACUUGGGUAGGAACCUCCUCUAGGAUAAGGAAUUUAUUUCAUAUAACUUUCAAGAUAUUUACAGAAUGUCUUUGGGUAAACAUCUCAGAAGUUAUUUAUUGGAAUGAGAAUUUUUAUUUUGUUUGGUUUGUUUGUUUGUUUGUUUUUUGAGACAAGGUUUCUCUGUAUAGCCCUGGCUGUCCUGGAACUCACUUUGUAGACCAGGCUGGCCUCGAACUCAGAAAUCCGCCUGCCUCUGCCUCCCGAGUGCUGGGAUUAAAGGCGUGCGCCACCAUGCCCGGCUCGGAAUGAGAAUUUUUAAACACUGAUCGUAGCAGAAAUGGGUUUUUAACGACUAAAACAUCCUCUUGCAAUGACAUGCUGAUUGUGACUCGUCUCCACUGCUUCAAGCUUGUGGGGUUAGGGGGGUAUUGCAAAUAGUAGAAAUAUUUGUACUUUUCAUAUUUUCAUGUUUUUUCUUCUUCAGUUAUCAUCUGGCUAUAGUCUUAACUAGUCUCCAAAGGCCCACAUAUAAAGACUUGGUGCCCAGCCUAUGCCAUUGUUGGGAAGUUGUGAAACCAUAAAGAGGUGGGGUCUAGUGGUAGGACAUAUGUCACAGGCACAUGCCUUUGAAAGGGAAACUAAGGGCUAGCCUUUUCCUCCUUCCCUUUCUUCCUCCCUGUCCCAGACUCUGUUGCUGUGACUAAACACCCUGACCAAAAGCAACUUGGGGAAGAAAGGGGUCUUCAUCUCUUACAAGUUAGAGUUCAUCAUAAAGGAGGACAGGGCAGGAACUCAACCUGGAACCCUGGCAGCGGGAACUGAACAGUAGGAACUGAAGCAGAGGCUAAUAGAAUGUUUUCUGGCUUGCUCUCCAGAUCAUAUUUGGCUACCUUUCUUACACGUCCUAUUACCAUUUGUCCAGAGGUAGUACCACCCACAAUCCCCUGAAACUCCUCAUAUUAAUCACCAACCAAGAAAAUCCCCCUCACAGACAUGCCCACAGGCCAGUCUGAUGGAGGCAACGCUACAGCUGAAGUUCCCUCCUCCCAGAUAGCCUAGAUCAGCAGUUCCCAAGCUGUGGGCAGAGAGCAUUGGAAAACACAUAUUUCUGAUGGUCUUAGAAACCCCCAACCAUAAAUUUGUUUUUAUUGCUAAUUCAUAGCUGUUAUUUUGCUAUUGAGCAACGCCUUAGUUCCUAAGACCAUAGGAAAAAUGUAUUUUCCAAUGGUCACAACCCAGGGGUUGAGAACCACUGGUUCAAAUUGUGUCAAGUUGACAAAAAUAAACAGCACUCCUCUGCACUGGUCUGUCCCCAUCAUUAUCAUCAGACUGUCUUGACCCACCACCUCCCAGUAAUGGCACAGAGACCUUUUAUUGUUUAUGAAAGCUUAGACCUUAUAGCUUAGGCUUGUUCCCAACUAGUUCAUAUAAUUUAAUAACCCAUUUAUACUAGUCCACGUUUGCUACAUGACCCAUCACCUCUCAUUCAGUCUCCAUCCGACUUCCUGUAUAUCUGGCUGGCAAAUCCACACCUCUCAAUUCUUCCCACAGUUCCUAUCUCUUCCCGGAUGUCCUGCCUUUCCUCUCCUGUUCUGCUGGAGGUCAACAGGCCUUUAUUUAACCAAUCAGAAGAGGACAGAGAAGAUGUUUACAAAAUACUUAGGCAGUAAAAAUAACAAUACCAAGGUCCAGUUUGUAGUCAACUCUGAGUCAAUACAGAAAUCAACAUUUGAAUAAUAAAAAGACAACCUUUACACAGUGCACAAAAACACACCAUGACAUAAACAGCAUCCACUGAUUCAUGAUUGAUCAUGGCCUAACACUCCCCAAACUGUACACUAAAACAAACCUUCCCUCUUUCUAAGUAGGUUAUCACAGGCAUUUUAUUUUUCCUUAGUGAUAGAUGUUGGCUAACAUGCUUUCUGUCUUCAGGGAUGUGACCUACUCUGGGCAUAAGCUUCAUGUCUAUGCAUCUCCCCUCCCCCACUUAUCCAUCAAAAAACUAUUCAAAAUUUGAAGCUACCACCCCAAAACUUUCUGGGAUUGGUGUCUUAUCUUUUUUCCACCCCUACAUGUCCACUUGAAUUGCUGCAUGCCAUACCAUAUCACUCCCAUUAAUUGGUGAGUGUUCCUGGUUUGCAGAAAAAUGUUUCAUUGUCAAUGUAAGGAAACAGAUUAACGGACAAUCACCUUGCCCCUGACUUGUCCCAGAACCUAAGACUUGGAAAUCCCACCCACAUGAUUCAGUGUUAACCACCAUGCUGUAUUCUUUCACUGGCUCACUGCACAUGCUCCGAAGACACUAUAAAAGUCCACCCCACUACCCAGUCCACAGAAUCUGAUCUUUAAUCAUUUAGUUAUUAUUAGAAAUUUUGACUAGAGACAUGUCUGCUCCUGACAGUACCCCCUUCAUCAUUCAAAGUAGAUGUUGAGCAUCUUUACCUCCAGGCAAGUUUGCUUAUCCUGGCAUACAAAAUACUGUCCAAAAAGGACAAACAGAUGUGGGAUAGUUGACUGCUAAGCUCUUCCUCGACCGAGUAAGCUAGUCCUUCAUAUGCCCACUUCAUUUCAGGGCCUACCAGAUGGAUCUAGGCCAAAAGACUGAAGACAGACGCUCCAACAUUAUUAGAAAUUAGGGGACUGUAUAGGUUGUCAGCUGUCUCUACAAUUUAAGUUUUGAAAGCUAUAUUUUUAUGCUUCCUAUAUAUUCAGGUAAUAUUUAAUUUGUUAUUGGAUUUCUGACAGGGUUAAAAACUAGUUAUAGUCUCAUAAGCAAACUUUAGUUGUUUAACAUUGAGAAAUAUGAUAUAGAGUUAAAAGCAUGGUUUUCAGAUGGUGAUACAGGCUAAAAUCAAAACAUAACUCAGGUAUAGAAUUUUAAGGUCUUUAGUUAGGAUAUGAUGGUAGAGUACUUUAUCUUGUUGACAAAUAUGGACUGGAUGCUAAUUGUAUAUCAUACUCUGCAAGUUACAUCAUUGUUAUGGUUGUACUCAAUUCAUGCCUGAGAGAAAAACUUUUUUAUUUGGACAGAGGUGAGAUGUUGGUGAUCAGUUUCUAAUGUUUUGAUUUAAUGGAGAAUCUGAAUGUCCAAACACUAAAGGUCCUUGCCCCCAAUUGGUUUUUGAUUGAUCAGUAAAGGUGCCAGCAGCCAAUGGCUGAACAAAGGGAGACAGGGUAGGUCCUUUAGAUUUGCAAUGGCUAGGAACUGGGGAAAAGGAGACAGAGGAUCGCCAUGAUGUGGUAGGAGACUGAUCAGAUUUAGAGCUGUAAGAGAAAGAGCCAACAAGCCAUGUAAAAAUUCAGGUAAGUGGCUACUGGUCACCUCCCUGAUUGGGCCUAGGGUACCAGGCUGAGGAUUAGAACUGCUCAGCCACUGACCAGGGCAGCAUAUUAAAAAUAAGCUAAUGUGUGUUUUCUAUUCACGGAUCCAGGGAGCUGCUGGGUGAGCAGCAGAAGUGUGACCUGUAUUUGGAACAUAAAGCAGAGUAGCCAAACUCCGUGCCACAAGACACUGCACUGGUCUCCAGUGGCAUCGCUGCGAUGGCACUGAUUUCUAAUCUGGAGGUUGAUAUAUGCUAGCAGAAAAGGAAGCAAGCCAAAUCAAGCCAAAAUAAUAAUAAUAAUAAUAAUAAUAAUAGCCCGAAAUGAUCAGUGAUUGGUCACGAAAACCCCCACAGAAGCAGUGGCUGCCUUGGAACCAGCACAGCAUAGCAGCUGAGUGAAUCAUCUCACCACAGGUCUUCCCUUUGUUGCUGUUUUUUGUGAAUACUCCCUGUCUUAGUCAGGGUUUCUAUUCCUGCACAAACAUCAUGACCAAGAAUCAAGUUGGGGAGGAAAGGGUUUAUUUGGCUUACACUUCCAUACUGCUGUUCAUCACCAAAGGAAGUCAGGACUGGAACUCAAGCAGGUCAGGAAGCAGGAGCUGAUGCAGAGGCCAUGGAGGGAUGUUCUUCACUGGCUUGCUUCCCCUGGCUUGCUCAGCCUGCUCUCUUAUAGAACCAAGACUACCAGCCCAGAGAUGGUCCCAUCCACAAGGGGUCUUUCCCCCUUGAUCACUAAUUAAGAAAAUGCCUUACAGUUGCAUCUCAUGGAGGCAUUUCCUCAACUGAAGCUCCUUUCUCUGUGAUAACUCCAGCUGUGUCAAGUUGACACAAAACUAGCCAGUACACUCCCAAUUGCUCUGUGUCAUGGUUUGAAUAUGCUUGGCCAAGGGAGUGGCACUAUUAGGAGGUGUGGCCUUGUUGCAGUAGAUGUGUCACUGUGGACAUGGCCUUUAAGAUCCUCACCCUAGCUGCCUGGAAGUCAGUAUUCUGCUAGUCACCUUCAGAUGAAAAUGAAGAACUCUUAGCAACUCCUGUAUCAUGCCUUCCUGGAUGCUGCCAUACUCCCACCUUAAUGAUAAUGGACUGAACCUCUGAACCUGUAAGCCAGCCCCAAUUAAACAUCCUUUAUAAGACUUGCCUUGGUCAUGGUGUCUGUUCACAGCAGUAAAACCCUAACUAAGACACUCUGCAGGAUCCCCAAGCUAUCCCUCCACAGUAUCUACACACACUCCCC